UACGGAGGUGGCAAGCGUUACUCGGAUUGAUUGGGUGUAAAGGGCGUGUAGGUGGUGAAUUAAGUCGAAUGUGAAAUCCCUUGGCUUAACCAAGGAACUGCAUUUGAUACUGAUUUGCUUGAGUGACAGAGAGGAAAGCGGAAUUCCCGGUGUAACAGUGAAAUGUGUAGAUAUCGGGAGGAACACCAGUGGCGAAGGCGGCUUUCUGGCUGUCCACUGACACUGAAACGCGAGAGCUAGGGGAGCAAACAGG
rnacentral:rRNA from 1 species